rnacentral:rRNA from 1 species
AGUGAACGCUGGCGGUAGGCCUAACACAUGCAAGUCGAACGGCAGCACAGUAAGAGCUUGCUCUUACGGGUGGCGAGUGGCGGACGGGUGAGGAAUACAUCGGAAUCUACUUUUUCGUGGGGGAUAACGUAGGGAAACUUACGCUAAUACCGCAUACGACCUACGGGUGAAAGCAGGGGAUCUUCGGACCUGGCGGGUUUGAAUGAGCCGAUGUCGGAUUAGCUAGUUGGCGGGGUAAAGGCCCACCAAGGCGACGAUGGGUAGCUGGUCUGAGAGGGUGACACGCCACAUUGGGACUGAGAUGCGGGCCGUACUCCUACUGGGGGCAGCAGUGGGAGAUAGUGCACGAUGGGCGGAGGCCGUGUGCAGCAACGCCGCGUGCGGGAUCACUGCCUUCGGGUUGUAAACCGCUUUCGUCUGUGACGCAGCGUGCGGGCGGUUAAUGGGUAAUGAGCACCCGGCAAACUACGUC